rnacentral:rRNA from 1 species
GCUUACGGCCAUAUCAGCCUGGGUACGCCCGCCUGAUCUCGGAAGCUAAGCACGGUCGGGCCUGGUUACUACUUGGAUGGGAGACCGCCUGGGAAUACCAGGUGCUGUAAGCA